rnacentral:rRNA from 1 species
AACGAACGCUGGCGGCGUGGAUAAGACAUGCAAGUCGAGCGGGAACUUUCGCUGUAGCAAUACAGUGAAAGUUCUAGCGGCGAACGGGUGCGUAACACGUGGGCAAUCUGCCGAGAAGUGGGGGAUAGCUCGCCGAAAGGCGAAUUAAUACCGCAUAUGAUCAGUGAAGACAUCUUCACGACAUCAAAGCCGGGGCAACCUGGCGCUUCUUGAUGAGCCCGCGGCCUAUCAGCUAGUUGGUGAGGUAACGGCUCACCAAGGCUAUGACGGGUAGCUGGUCUGAGAGGACGACCAGUCACACUGGAACUGAGACACGGUCCAGACACCUACGGGUGGCAGCAGUCGAGAAUUUUCUCAAUGGGGGCAACCCUGAAGGAGCGACGCCGCGUGGA